ACCACAACCUGAGCUGCUCAACCAACUGAGCCAACCAGGUGCCCUUUAUUGCCUCUUUUCAAGUUUACUCUUUUUAGAAUUUACAUUUAUUUAGAUUUCCCAUUUUCACCCUACUUAUAUUUGUAUUUCCUUUUAUAUCUUAAAACUUACUUACAGUGUUGGAAGUUGAUGUCUCCUAAUUCCAUCUCUCUCAUUCCUGGGUCUCUUUAUAUUGAUUGAUUUUUCUCUUGGUUAUGUAUUACAUUUCCCUCCUCCUCCUUCUCUCUUGUAAGUUUUUGUUAUAUGUUGGACAUUUUGAGUAAUACAUAUUUAAAAUUCUCACCUAGUUAUUAGAGAAUUAAACUGUUUCCAAGGCCUGCAUCCUCAGAAGUAUCAUGCAAUGACUUCCACUCCUGAUGGUCAUUUUAUCUAAAAUGACCUAACUUAAAAAA